rnacentral:rRNA from 1 species
UACAGAGGGUGCGAGCGUUAAUCGGAAUUACUGGGCGUAAAGCGCGCGUAGGCGGCUUUGCAAGUCGGGUGUGAAAUCCCCAGGCCUAACCUGGGAACUGCACUCGAGACUGCAUGGCUAGAGUAUCGGAGAGGGAAGUGGAAUUCCGGGUGUAGCGGUGAAAUGCGUAGAUAUCCGGAGGAACACCGGUGGCGAAGGCGGCUUCCUGGACCGACACUGACGCUGAGGCGCGAAAGCUAGGGGAGCAAACGGG